GAUGCUGUACAACCUUGUGAACUUUAUUGAAUAAGCAACUGAUAGUAACGAUAGGACAGGGAGAAAAGGAAGAGAAAGUCAGAAUCCCUAAGCUAGAAAGUGGUAGAGAUACAGCAAGACUAAGUACCACCCCCACGACUCCAGCGAUGUUCUGCUGG